AUGGUAGGAUAGAGGCCUACCAUGGUGGUAACGGGUAACGGGGUGUUAGGGCACGACACCGGAGAGGGAGCCUGAGAAACGGCUACCACAUCCAAGGAAGGCAGCAGGCGCGCAAAUUACCCAAUCCCGACACGGGGAGGUAGUGACAAUAAAUAACAAUACAGGGUUCUUUGAAUCUUGUAAUUGGAAUGAGUACAAUUUAAAUCUCUUAACGAGGAACAAUUGGAGGGCAAGUCUGGUGCCAGCAGCCGCGGUAAUUCCAGCUCCAAUAGCGUAUAUUAAAGUUGUUGCAGUUAAAAAGCUCGUAGUUGAAUUUCGGGAUCAAUACGUCGGUCGUGCUUUCGGGUACGUACUGGCGUCAUUGGUUUCUCCUUUCUGACGAACCAUGAUGUCAUUAAUUUGGUGUUAUGGGAGUUAGGACUGUUACUUUGAAAAAAUUAGAGUGUUUAAAGCAGGCAUUAGCUUGAAUACAUUAGCAUGGAAUAAUGAAAUAGGACGUUCGAUCCUAUCUUGUUGGUUUCUAGGAUCAACGUAAUGAUUAAUAGGGAUAGUUGGGGGCAUUAGUAUUCAAUUGUCAGAGGUGAAAUUCUUGGAUUUAUUGAAGACUAACUACUGCGAAAGCAUUUGCCAAGGAUGUUUUCAUUAAUCAAGAACGAAAGUUAGGGGAUCGAAGACGAUCAGAUACCGUCGUAGUCUUAACCAUAAACUAUGCCGACUAGGGAUCGGAUGAUGUUAAUUUUUUAAUGACUCAUUCGGCGCCUUACGGGAAACCAAAG
rnacentral:rRNA from 1 species